GCAACGGGCUGGGAACAUGCUGGGAAACACCCAGCCGGCCCUUCUGUCAGCGCUCACAUCCAUCCCCGCAGCUCCAAAACAAAGGGAGUCACCUGAAACCACAGGGGAGAAAGAUUGCAGGAUUACACACACUUUUGCCUGCAACUACAUUCAGAGACAGUGAUCUCAUGGGUUCAAAGCCGCGCUUCCAGCAGAGACAGGGACAGGAGACAGAGCACCUCCAGCAAAGACAAGGGGAACCGAGUGCGAGGCAGCCCUAGCUGGCGGCCCCAAGGUCGGGCCCGGGAGACCAGGGUUCCCGAGUGCCAACUCCACUGUGAUACCGAUCCUGUCCGCAGCCGCCUCGGUUUGCAGUGAGAUGCUCUCGCUCCCCAGGAUGCCAGGAGACGUGUUUCCCUGAGCUAGACGCCGUAUCACUCGAGUGCCCCUUGUCGCCGGGCAGCAUUGCUGAUUUCUUAUUAAAAAUUCUCUUUGUUCCUCUUCAGUCUGGCGUUGGUCCCUCCUUGAGCUGGAGCAGCUGAAACGCUGAAUGUUAUGUCAGGGUUUGAAGUGCAGGCAGCUUUCUUUUCAACUGUUUCUUUUAAAUCCACUUCAAUAUUAGAGCUUCCUGAACUCCUUCUUUUCAGCCUGUCCUUUAUGCUGUUUCUUUUUAAGCCUUGUCCUUGUGUUAUUAUGUCUGGCAGAACAAUCUAAGGCAGGGAAGAUUUCAGAAGCGCCACGCUCCUUCAAACCAGGUUUGAAGUCUGCCUGCUAUCUUCUCUCACCCCCCAUUCCUUUCCCCACCCAUCCAUCCCCGGCAUAGAAACACUGCAGGGUGCAACCAGCAUUUCUGCAAGCGCUGCCGUUGCAAAUCACCCCUGUCCCACACCAGCGCUGAACGCGGUAUAGCAAUCCCGGGGAAGGAGAGGCCAUUUGAGAUCGGGAAGGCUCUCAGCGUGUCGCUAUCUUUGGCUGCAGAGAGACAGUGUUUUCCAGCACACUUGUCGUGCACCCCGCUGGCAUCUCCAUACCUGGCUUCUUCCGGCCUCCAGACAGUUUCAGAUCUAUUUAGAGGUAAUUUUGCAGACAGAAUGUGGGUGUUUUCCAUUACAGCCAUGCUCAUGCUCCUUCUUAUUCAAACUAUGAAUUUUACAUGCCUUCUUUUCUUGAAAGUUUUGUCAAUGUGCCUAAGAAGCUAUUUAUCCUUUGCUUCCAGAUGCUACCGCUCUAAGUGCCGGCGAAUGUUUUGUUAUGGUUCCCAAGUUAACAGCAUUUUGAGUAUCGCUACUUUAGAAAAUCCUUGCAAAACCAUCUGUGAUUUUUCGGCUCUUGUGUGGUAUAAUCAGAUCACACUGGAGUGUGAUUUUUAUGCAUCAAAACCUUAAUGUCCUUAUGAUGAAGUCACAACAGAUUUGAGAAUUGACAUCAAUGUGUGGCCUCCCUGCGGGGUCGUGUCCGGUGGAGGUGCUGGGAUUAUUUUGGGGGGUUUCGUUGUAUUGUAUACUUCUGGCAGUCUGGGCAGCUCACAAUCCAGUAACCUUGCAUGCAUCUCCCUUGUGCCCAAGCAUAUUUUCAUCAAAGCUUUUUCUUUAAAUAUUAAAAGUAAAAGCUGAGUGAA